rnacentral:rRNA from 1 species
UGCCAGCAGCCGCGGUAAGACGGAGGGCGCAAGCGUUGUUCGGAAUUACUGAGCGUAAAGGGCGGGCAGGUGGUCUGUUAAGUCGUUUGUGAAAAUCCGGGGCUCAACCCCGCGAAAUGCAGACGAUACUGGCAGACUAGAGAUCGGUAGAGGCUAGCGGAAUUCCUGGUGUAGCGGUGGAAUGCGUAGAUAUCAGGAAGAACACCUGUGGCGAAGGCGGCUAGCUGGGCCGAGUCUGACACUCAUCCGCGAAAGCGUGGGGAGCAAACAGGAUUAGAUA